rnacentral:rRNA from 1 species
AUUGAACGCUGGCGGCAGGCUUAACACAUGCAAGUCGAGCGGGCGAAGUUGCUUCGGUAACUGAGCUAGCGGCGGACGGGUGAGUAAUGCUUAGGAAUCUGCCUAUUAGUGGGGGACAACAUUCCGAAAGGAAUGCUAAUACCGCAUACGCCCUACGGGGGAAAGCAGGGGAUCUUCGGACCUUGCGCUAAUAGAUGAGCCUAAGUCAGAUUAGCUAGUUGGUGGGGUAAAGGCCUACCAAGGCGACGAUCUGUAGCGGGUCUGAGAGGAUGACCCGCCACACUGGGACUGAGACACGGCCCAGACUCCUACGGGAGGCAGCAGUGGGGAAUAUUGGACAAUGGGCGGAAGCCUGAUCCAGCCAUGCCGCGUGUGUGAAGAAGGCCUUUUGGUUGUAAAGCACUUUAAGCGAGGAGGAGGCUACUUGGAUUAAUACUCUAGGAUAGUGGACGUUACUCGCAGAAUAAGCACCGGCUAACUCUGUGCCAGCAGCCGCAGUAACAC